CGCAUCGUUAUGUAAGUUUUUUAUUUCUAAAACUUCUUAUUACCAUUCAUUACUUAUGUGCCAAAUAAACUAAAACACUGUUCAAUCUGGACAUACUUCAGAUUUUUGCACCUAUUUGCCAUUCACAACAUUGGUGGUUAUGGGUGGCUGAUACAAGGAAAAAAAUCUUUUGUACUCGACCCAUAUCACAUGACUUGUCCAGCCGAUGAAAGAAAGAACAUAAAUAUAUUCGCUGUAAGUUGGUUCUGUGUUCUAUAUUUGAAUAUUUGGGUGUACUUCUGUUCAGUAUAAGGUGUAGGUUUGUGCUCAUUUGUUUAUAUUCCUUUAUUAAAUUUAUUCAUAUAUUACUGAUUUGUUUUGUGUUUUAAGGGACAUGUAAUUUCAAGAAUGAGAGUAUAUGCUUGGGGGCACCUCUGAAGAAAGACGAUCACAAAAUUCAUACACCAUACACUAACAUCUCAGGCCAAAAGACAAGCUAUGACUGUGCUAUUUAUAUAAUGAAGUGGCUUGAGAUAAUUUAGCCCGAAAACGUUAAAAGGGGGAAGUAUGAGUGGGACAACUGGACCCAGGACGAGGUGGACCACUUUAGAGUAGAAUAUGCUUCUCAGAUUCUAUUCCAUGAAAUGAAUCAAGACAAAGCUGAAGCUGUUCCGAGG